AAAGCAGAUGUUAUUUUUCCUGCUUUCUCUCCAGGUUACACCACAGGCACCUGACCUGGAGAACCACAAAUCAUUAUCACCACCAUCGUAUCGCCAUCCCGCUGAACUCUCUCUUUUGUUCUGUGUGUGUAUGUGUGUCUGUGUUUGGGUUGUGGUGCUCCUCUGUCUCCCUCUCCCCUCUCUUUUUCAGCCACCUGCCUUCAAUCAGCCUACACACCUGCCUCUCAUCUACUCAAGUCUGCUGCAUAUAGUCCCAGGAUCUACAGCCACUCUUCACUCUUCCCAGGAUGACGUCUUGUUUCCUUGUCUGUGCAAUCUGCUGAGUACCAUGCUCAAGUUCCUCCACCAGCUUCAUCCAAUCCCACUCCGCCACUAACCGUAUGCCCACCUGCUUCACCAUCUGAUCCACCUCCACUCAAGACUAAAGGUUUCCCCGGUUACCGGCUUCCCCCACACCAUCUCCAGACUCUGCCACACUCAUCACCCCACGACCCGCUACCUCCAAAGACUCUGCCCGCCACCUCCAAUGGCAACCCCUGACCCACGGUCCGCAAGCACCCUGCAUCCAGCAAGCCUCUCCUUCCUCUCCCUGGUGAUCACAGCAGCUGCCCUUCCCAGCUCUCCUCCCUGCAACUCUCCUGCUCACAGGCUCCUCCCCUCACCCCACUAGCCCAAAGCCCCACUGCUCAUUCAGUCUUUGAAUAAAC